GAAACGAAGGCUUACGGUGGAGACCUAGGCACUCAGAGACGAUGAAGGGCGCAGAUACCGGCGAUACGCUUCGGGGAGCUGGUAACAAGCAUCGAUCCGAAGAUCCCCGAAUAGGGCAACCUCUUAAAGAACUCCUUUUUGAAUUCAUAGAAAAGGAAGAGGCAACCCGGUGAACUGAAACAUCUCAGUAGCCGGAGGAAAAGAAAGCAAAAGCGAUUCCCGGAGUAGCGGCGAGCGAAAUGGGAACAGCCUAAACCACUUUCCUUUUGGAAGUGGGGUUGUGGGAAUCCAAAUAAAAAUCAAAUGAAAAUCAAAUGAAAAUCAAAUGAAAAUCAAAAAAGAUGAGACGAAGCAGCUGAAUCCUGCACCAUAGAUGGUGAAAGUCCAGUAGUCAAAAACUUUCAAACCUUGGAAAAUCCCGAGUAGCAUGGGACACGUGGAAUCCCGUGUGAAUCAGCGAGGACCACCUCGUAAGGCUAAAUACUCCUGAGUGACCGAUAGUGAAGAAGUACAGCGAUGGAAAGGUGAAAUAGAACCCCCUGUCGGGGAGUGAAAGAGAACAUGAAACCGUAAGCUGACAAGCAGUGGGAGGAUAAUCUGACCGCGUGCCUGUUGAAGAAUGAGCCGGCGACUUAUAGGAAGUGGCAGGGUUAAGGAGUUAUAUCCGGAGCCCAAGCGAAAGCGAGUCUGAAUAGGGCGAUACAGUCACUUCUUAUGGACCCGAACCUGGAUGAUCUAAUCAUGGCCAGGUUGAAGCUUGGGUAACACCAAGUCGAGGACCGAACCGACCGAUGUUGAAAAAUCGGCGGAUGAGCUGUGAUUAGGGGUGAAAUUCCAAUCGAAUUCAGAGCUAGCUGGAUCUCCCCGAAAUGCGUUGAGGCGCAGCGGCAACGAUGUCCUGUCUAAGGGUAGAGCGACUGUUUCGGUGCGGGCUGCGAAAGCGGUACCAAGUCGUGGCAAACUCCGAAUAUUAGGCAAAGGAUUCCGUAAGCCAGUGAGACUGUGGGAGAUAAGUUUCAUAGUCAAGAGGGAAACAGCCCAGACCAUCAGCUAAGGCCCCAAAAUGAUUGCUAAGUGGAAAAGGAUGUGAGAAUGCUGAAACAACCAGGAGGUUCGCUUAGAAGCAGCUAUUCCUUGAAAGAGUGCGUAAUAGCUCACUGGUAAAGCGUUCUUGCGCCGACAAUGGCCGGGACUAAGCAAUCUGCCGAAGCUAUGGGAUUUGUUCUUUAUUUUUUCUUUGAAAAAAUAGAUAGAAACGAAUCGGUAGGGGAGCGUUCUGCACUGGGUGAAGCUUUGACGGAAGUCUUGGUGGACGGUGCGGAAGUGAGAAUGUCGGCUUGAGUAACGAAAACAUUGGUGAGAAUCCAAUGCCCCGAAAACCUAAGGGUUCCUCUACAAGGUUCGUCCGUGGGGGGUGAGUCAGGACCUAAGGCGAGGCCGAGCGGCGUAGUCGAUGGCAAACAGGUUAAUAUUCCUGUACUUAUUUUUGUGGGAACCGAGGGACGAAGAAAGCUAAAUUGGGUCUGUCUUUGGUAUGGCAGUGGAAGCGUUCAAGGUGCUGAGAGGUCGAAAAAAAACGAAUCUUGAGCUGAGGCGUGAUCCCGCUUUCUAGACUUGUCUGGAUAAGCGCCAAUGAUGUUAUGCUUCCAAGAAAAGCUCGUACACCUCUAGAAGCAAUUCUAGAAAAACACAAAAAUAACCUGUACCUGAAACCGACACAGGUAGGUUGGUAGAGAAUACCAAGGGGCGCGAGAGAACUCUCUCUAAGGAACUCGGCAAACUAGCCCCGUAACUUCGGAAGAAGGGGCGCCCUCUUUAACGGGAGGGUCGCAGUGACGAGGUUCUGGCAACUGUUUAUCAAAAACACAGGUCUCCGCAAAGUCGUAAGACAAUAUAUGGGGGCUGACGCCUGCCCAGUGCCGGAAGGUCAAGGAAGUUGGUUAUAAAUCUUCGGAUUUAGAAGCUGACGACCGAAGCCCCGGUGAACGGCGGCCGUAACUAUGACGGUUUUUCUUUAGGGCUGUCAAUAAAUAAAACUAUAUGCUGGAACGUCCACGUGAAUUUAAAUUUUAAAUGACACGUGUUUAUUGGAACCGAGUAGGUAAAAUGCCAAUGUAGAAAGACCAAUCAGCAGGAAACAAAAAAAAAUUUUUAAAAAAUAUUUCAUUAUGAACAAAAAAAUUCAACCAUUAUUGCUUAAACCUGGUGAAAAGCUUCCUCAAAAUGUAAUUGAUGCUUUAAAAAAUGCAAAUGCAACUGUUCAAAAAAACAAGAAUUUUGAAGAUUAUCGUCUAAAAAUUCAACGUGCUUUGCAAUUGCCCGACUAUGUCCCCAUGACUGAAUCACAAAAAUUCUAUUAUGGCGGAUUUCUUGAAGGUGAAGGUUCAAUUUGUAUUGGAGCAAAAAAAGGAAAAAAUUGUAAAUUUGGUGUGUAUUUAGAUCCCGGCUUCAAUGUUACACAACAUGUUAAUGGUGCAAAACAUCUUUUUAAUGGUUUAUCCUACUUCCGCACGGGACGUAUUCGAUACAAAAGUGGGAGCAAUGCAACUUUAGUUUUUGAAAUCGAUACUCGUCAAAGUUUAAUUGAAAAACUUAUUCCUUUUUAUGAAGAAUAUGUUCUUCCAUGUGCUUGUCCAGCGAAGAGAGAACGAUUUGAAAAGUAUCGUUUUAUGCUUUAUGCAUUUGAACAAAAAAAACAUUUGGAUUUUCAGUCGUUUGUUUAUGAACUUGGACCAAUUUGGGAUGAUUUAAGAAUGCAAAAAGGUCAAAAAAAUGAAACUUUUGCCUCACUUGAAGAAUUUCAACAAUAUUGUAUUGCUUUUGUUCAACAAUAGUGUAAAAAAAACACAAAAAUUUUUUAUUUGAUUCUUCAGAGACUACACGUUUUAUAAGUUAAUGUUGCACUACACCGAAGGUGACGGUGAGCGCGCGCAUUAAUGAAAGAUAUAGUCCAAAAUUUGUUUAUAUUUCAUUCUAAAUAUAAAUCGAUUGGAACACGCUAUUUGCCUAAGGUAGCGAAAUUCAUUGUCGAGUAAGUUUCGACCUGCACGAAAGGCGUAAUGAUCAGAACGCUGUCUCGGAGAGAGACUCGGUGAAAUAGACUUGUCCGUGAAGAUGCGGACUACUAAUACUUGGACAGAAAGACCCUAUGAAGCUUGACUGUAUCCUGGAAUUGGGUUCGGGCUUUUCUUGCGCAGUCUAGGUGGGAGGCUAUGAAGAUUUCCUUCCGGGGAAGUUGGAGCCAUCAGUGAGAGACCACUCUGGAGAGGCUAGAAUCCUAAUGGUGAUCCUUGAAUCAGGACACUUGACAGUUUCAGGUGGGCAGUUUUUCUGGGGCGGAAGCCUCAUAAAGGGUAACUGAGGCGCGCAAAGGUCCCCUCAGUCUGGACGGAAAUCAGACAACGAGUGUAAAGGCAAAAGGGGGCUUGACUGCAAGACCUACAAGUCGAGCAGGAGCGAAAGCUGGCCUUAGUGAUCCGACGGUACCGUGUGGAAGGGCCGUCGCUCAACGAAUAAAAGUUACUCUAGGGAUAG
rnacentral:rRNA from 1 species